CGGACGGGUGAGUAAUGUCUGGGAAACUGCCUGAUGGAGGGGGGAUAACUACUGGAAACGGUAGCUAAUACCGCAUAACGUCGCAAGACCAAAGAGGGGGGACCUUCGGGCCUCUUGCCAUCAGAUGUGCCCAGAUGGGAUUAGCUAGUAGGUGGGGUAACGGCUCACCUAGGCGACGAUCCCUAGCUGGUCUGAGAGGAUGACCAGCCACACUGGAACUGAGACACGGUCCAGACUCCUACGGGAGGCAGCAUG
rnacentral:rRNA from 1 species